rnacentral:tRNA from 1 species
GGGGAUGUAGCUCAGUGGUAGAGCAUUCGCCUAGUAUUUGUAAGGCCCUGGGUUUCAUCCCCA